CUGGAAUUGACUGAGUACUUACUGGAUAGAGACCGGUUUAAACUGAGAGAGACUGUUCAAACUGGAGCAAAGUGAAAAGCUGUUACCCAGAUAAUUUGCCUCACCUGAGCCACAAUAGAUGCGGUAGAAACGGGACACCUCAGAGAUUUGAUUUUGUCACGCUCUGAAAUUCAUAGUAAAUCUCAUCAUGCCACUCCAAUCUCUACCCCCAAAUCCCUGUCCAAAGUCCACAAUCCUUGGUGUGACAUGACUCAUUCAUUCAUUUAACAUUUCCUGAGUAUCUAAUGUGUGCAGACUUGCUCUGAUGGGCUCUGGAUUCACAGAAGUGAAAGGACAGACGCAAUUCCUGCCCACAGGCGAGAAGGACAGUGACACAAAUGUGUCAAUGAUCGCAUUUGGGAUUGUUGAGGUCAUGGAAUCCAGAGUGACUGAGGAGCUGUGGCAGGAGGAGCUGACUGAGUUAGGACCAGGGGUUUGUGAGGCUGGAGUCCGUGAAUGCGAAGAAAGGACUUCUUGGGAAUAGGAAAUGGUGGGGAGGAGGAAUUACAUUUUCUACUAACUUCAAACUGAAAUUUAGCAUUUUCUUUAAUUAGGAAUGUGGGCAA
rnacentral:lncRNA from 10 species